GCUGCGGUGCUGAGUGCUUGCAAGGCUUCCUGGGGAAAGCUUAGCCAGAAAGGAGGGGGUGCUGUCACAGGGGAAUGCAUGUAUAUCUCUCUGAGAUCCUGAAUUGCCUUGGAAGGCCUAGUAUUUGGCUGUGGUUAGGUAACUUAUGUAUAGAACCACUAAAACUCUUAAUGUGUCAGCAAAAAUGCCUGCCUAGUUCUGUACCAUCAGGUAGAGAUAUUCAGACAUAUUGACAACGUUACUCAAGAAGGUAAUAAUCAUCUUCUACAUGCAUUGAGAAACACCUCCAAUGCCUCAUCAUUUUUAAAGAGCAACAUGGUUUGCUAAAUGUACCAGAAUUUCCCUUUUACAUGAUACAGAAUCAGAGAGAUCUAAUGAAAAAGGACCGUGCUGCCUCUGAGAUGUGCCCCAAGGCCACCUUCGAGAGCAGGAUGGGGAUGACAGUCAGCAAAAGUCUGAAACACAUUUUAUUUGUGCCUCUUCAAUGAAUGUUGGGAAGAACAGCAAAUCUGUGCUGACAGUGAUGCUGAAUAUUGAGGCGUAUCAACAGUGUGGAGAAUGAGCUAGCUGUUCAUUAAGAAAUAAUGAUUUAUGAAGACAGUAAUGACAAAAAAAAACAAACAUAUUUUGAGGCAUCGCAUCCAAAAAUCUUCUAUUUAAAUUCUUUAUGAGAGAGGGAGGAAGAAAGGAAGGAGGAAGACAUUAAUUACAUAGAGAAGAAAUUUUUAAUCAGAGGAAGUUUGAUUUGAAUCGGGAUAGUAAAGGUUACAACCAAGUAGCAAAGUCUGCAGGAAGCACUGUGUGGCAUCUCAGAGCAUCAAGGUAAAAGGUCACUGAAGCUCUAAUCAUAAACUCUCUAAAGCAUUACUCAGAGCUUCUGUAACUCCUCCUGGAAGAGCAGUGGAAACAGAAAUGACCAACAGACCUUGAGAACGGCCAGGAUAACGAACUGAGCGGCGUCCGUGAUUGCUGCGCUGCAGUGGCUUUAACUUUGUUCUCCAUCAAGUCGGUAGCAACAGCGAGGAUCUCAAUAUCAGCAGGGGAACUGCGCCCAAAUUAUCACACGAGUUGCUGUGCAUUUCAGCCAUGAGCAAGAGUUUAUGCUGAAGCUGUGAGUUUUCCCAAGAAAGCAGAGGAGAGACGCGUGUACAGGAUGCAAGCGCACAGUGUGGAAAUAGUGGAGAACUGUGACCUAUUGUACCACCUAUAAAUGAAAAAAUGCGGAAACACUCGCUUUUGAAGACGUACAAAAGACAUAUUUGGAGAGAUUCCAGUUUCGAGUGCGCCGAGGAGCAAGGAGGAAGAAAUGCCCAUUGCUGAGUUGCGCUGAGAGCACGAACCGCUCGGCUCGGCCGCCUCCGUGCAACAAAAGCACUACAAAUAAUUAGAUUAGUGUUUCCCUGGCACAGGUGCUGAACCCGACACGGAGCAGUGCCACGGAGCGGGGCGGGCAGCCGGACAGCGCGGAGCAUCGCGAGCAGUUGGUAACAUUUGGCAGCUGAACAGAGAAAAAAAUGACUGCUAGGGAAAUCUCAACCGCCGCUAAUUAGCAGCAAUGAACUGUGGGUAAGGACAGUACAUUUUAAUGUGAGAAGAAUUUUACAAUAACCACCACACUGAAAGAAAUGGAACGAAAUGCUCCCUAGCUGACCCUUGUGGCAAUCUAAGCUGCAUAUUGCAAUAAUCCUGUAAAUUACUAUGCUUUUUUAUACAGUAACUUGGAGUUAAUUAGUAAUUUAACAUUCCUCUACGCUAUUAAAUGUCUUUCUUGCAUUAUAUUAUGUUGUUUCAUGGUCU